rnacentral:rRNA from 1 species
CCUGGCGGCUUUAGCGCGGUGGUCCCACCUGAAGAAGUGAAACGCCGUAGCGCCGAUGGUAGUGUGGGGUCUCCCCAUGUGAGAGUAGGGAACUGCCAGGC